GAUGAACGCUAGCGGCAGGCUUAAUACAUGCAAGUCGAACGCGAAAGGGACUUCGGUCCCGAGUAGAGUGGCGCACGGGUGAGUAACGCGUAAGUAAUCUACCCCUGUAUCUGGAAUAACCCACCGAAAGGUGAGCUAAUACCGGAUACGUUCAGAUUGGUGCGAAUCAGUCUGAAGAAAGAUGGCCUCUUCUUGAAAGCUAUUGUACAGGGACGAGCUUGCGUACCAUUAGCUAGUUGGUAGGGUAAUGGCCUACCAAGGCAACGAUGGUUAGCGGGUCUGAGAGGAUGAUCCGCCACACUGGAACUGACACACGGUCCAGACUCCUACGGGAGGCUG
rnacentral:rRNA from 1 species